rnacentral:rRNA from 1 species
ACUCUUGGACAGCCUUCUGAAAGGAAGAUUAAUACAAGAUGGCAUCAUGAGUUCACAUGUUCACAUGAUUAAAGGUAUUCCGGUAGACGAUGGGGAUGCGUUCCAUUAGAUAGUAGGCGGGGUAACGGCCCACCUAGUCUUCGAUGGAUAGGGGUUCUGAGAGGAAGGUCCCCCACAUUGGAACUGAGACACGGUCCAAACUCCUACGGGAGGCAGCAGUGAGGAAUAUUGGUCAAUGGGCGAGAGCCUGAACCAGCCAAGUAGCGUGAAGGAUGACUGCCCUAUGGGUUGUAAACUUCUUUUAUAAAGGAAUAAAGUCGGGUAUGGAUACCCGUUUGCAUGUACUUUAUGAAUAAGGAUCGGCUAACUCCGUGCCAGCAGCCGCGGUAAUACGGAGGAUCCGAGCGUUAUCCGGAUUUAUUGGGUUUAAAGGGAGCGUAGAUGGAUGUUUAAGUCAGUUGUGAAAGUUUGCGGCUCAACCGUAAAAUUGCAGUUGAUACUGGAUAUCUUGAGUGCAGUUGAGGCAGGCGGAAUUCGUGGUGUAGCGGUGAAAUGCUUAGAUAUCACGAAGAACUCCGAUUGCGAAGGCAGCCUGCUAAGCUGCAACUGACGUUGAGGCUCGAAAGUGUGGGUAUCAAACAGGAUUAGAUACCCUGGUAGUCCACACGGUAAACGA